rnacentral:piRNA from 1 species
CCAGCAAUGGGAUUACAGGCUUU